GGAGAAUCCAGCGAACAAGGUUACCCAGGAGAGCUUGGCCAUCCAGGCUCACAGGGACCAAGAGGAAGGCAAGGACCGCCAGGAACUUUGGGAGAAAAAGGCUCACUGGGUGCUCAGGGGAAUGCUGGGCUUCCAGGGCCAAAUGGUUCCAAAGGAAAAGACGGACCAAGAGGAAUGAAGG